GGGGGUGUACUGGUUUCGACGGGAUCGCAGGUGGUCGGGUAAGCGAGCCGCAGCCCCGGGCUGCGUUAAAACCGGGAAAUAAAAUUGAACUGACAAUAGCGAAUACGCUUUCGCGGCCUAAUCAGGCUGCGCGUCGGCCCGGGGUUCCCGCUGCCCCGGUCACCGGCGUCAAUUCAGCGGGCCAUGUUCCUGCCUAAGCUUUGCGGCUUGAACACAUUAUGAAGCUACCGAAUCCCUGAGCCUGUCCACGGGCGCCCGGACGAGGGAAUUCUAAAUCAUGGACUGCGCUCGGAGAAAGCCCGGCUGUCACUUUUUCGGACAGGGGUUCGAUUCCCCUCACCUCCACCA
rnacentral:tmRNA from 1 species